rnacentral:piRNA from 1 species
CAGGUGGAACAGAUUACUGCUCUGCAGGUA